GCCCAUCAACUGAAGCAGGGUCUUAGUUUGGUAGAACCCUGAACCGUUACGACUGCAGAAACUACGCAAACCCUAAAAACUUUCCGAUAACGAAAUGGCUUGCGUCGCCGGCACUGCCGCGAGAUCGAUAUUCCGGUCAUCCUCCGCCGCCCGCACCGCUUUCCGUAUCGGUUCAGAAGCUAAAACAGCUCGUUCUCCUUUCCGAAUCGCCUCCAAUAAGCCUCUUUCGCAAUCCGCACUCAGGUGUCCUGUUGAAUUGAGCUUCUGUGUUGAAUCGAUGUUGCCGUAUCAUACGGCAACUGCUUCUGCGUUGAUGACUUCAAUGUUAGUAGUUUCUGAACGCAGAUACGGUUGGCUUCCUGAAGGUAGCUAAACAUCUGUAGGAUUCCUUGUGUUCUUUCUUCAAUUUAAUUUGCGGGCAAGGAGAAGACUAUUUGAAGAUCAAGAAGCAAGAUUGCAAUGAUGAUGUGUGAUAAGUGUUCUGAAGAUCGAAGCAAUCUUUUAUGUACAAUCUGCUUCGUGAGACAGUGUCUUGUCUGAGCCAUUGGCGGGUCAAAUUGAGUCCCAAAGGCUGAAAGGAACUUUAAAAAGCUAGACCACCUGUAACUCUGUUAUUUCUUCUUUAGAUUUAUAAAAAAAACCUACUAUUGACCCACCAGGAUUGUAGUGUCUAAAGUCAAAUAAGCUGAAAUUGUAUUGCACAAUGUUGGACAAGUUUUCUUGGCCAUGUUUUAUAGAAAUUUCAUAUUGAAUCAGCUAGGGAUGUUUAUGGAUGUAGAGAUGGAGUGUUGAGCUGUUUUUUAAUUAAUUUUCGCAAGUCCCUCUACUCUA